rnacentral:lncRNA from 1 species
ACCCGCCAGCCCCGCGCUCUACCAGGCAGAGCGCGUGUGGCCGCCGAGCACAUGGACCCACUGGUCAAGCGGGCUCGGCAAGGCCAGGAUGAAGAGAAGCUACGAACUUAGCAUUCCCAGAGCCCCCCGAGUGGAUAUCCGCGUGGAAAGGAUGUUGGCAGCCCCGGUGACCUCGGAGUCACGGCUGGAUCCACCCUCUUGUCUGAUUUUCUUAACUCUACUACGGUAAGAAGAUGCCCUCCAUCAGCAGGCCGUGUCUGCUGGGACCUCUCUGGAGACUUCCUGAACCCUGUGGAUUUACAGUAAGAUGCAGUUUCCUGGGGAGUAAUUCUGGUGGAUACAAAUUCCGGAGUAUUACACCUGGCUUGCCUGGAGAUGUUACAAGUAGCUGGAUGGAUUCUUCAGCCUGGAUGCCCACUGAAAACAAGGACCGAAACUAAGAGGAUUGUAUCUCUACCCUUGACUCAAUGAGAAUGUUUGUUGUCAUCUCUCGGGCUACCUGGAGCUCCCUCUAAAAUAGAGCCGAGUUCUGUCACCACAGACAUUGGCAGUGGCACUUGCAUGCCCCUGGCAAGCAGUCUAUCCUGAGGUGGAGGAAGUUGCCCUUGAGUUCUGGCUGGUAACCAGCACAGGGGCUGGGACACUGCCUGAUUGAGGUGGCCAUUGAGAAUUCAAGUGUACCUCUUGGUCCCUGAUGCAGAAAUGAAGUCCCCAGCAUGCUCAAGAAGAGCUUCCUUGGAGGAUGAGAGGCAUGGGAAUCUAAGUAUACCCUUUAAGCGUUCCAGAAGGAUUUUGAGAUCCUUUCCUAAAUCAAAGGUGGAAUAUUUGGGGAUUUGGAAAAUUGAGAUGUGAAGCGUUGACUUAAGAGAUGCCAAGUAACUCAGCAGAUGUCACACAGACGAUAAAUAGCAAAGAUGGAAGUCUUCAUGCCGGAGGCAAUCCUAUAAGACAGCUGAGUUCUGCAGAGCUGGUAGGAGACAGACUUGCUCAGGUGAUAGAUCCAGCCAUGAUACUGACCCUAAGAGAAUGAGACGCUCUGCAGAAGACAGAAGAUUCCUGAAACUGGGAAAGGUGCCUAGAAAUCCUGAUAAGAGUGAAGAAGGAGCUGGCAGAGCAGCCUUCCUCCGCACUAUGAAAGACAUCCAACAGAGAGCAAGUUCCCACCUCACUUCCAGCUUGACUCCUUUUUAUCUCCUAACUGUGGUCUGUGAUGUCUUCAGCAAUGGUAUUAACUAGUUCUGGGUACCUGGAGGCACAGCAGCCAUGUUGAACCUAUGAGGUGAUGAAAAACCAUGCAACUAGAAACCAGAAUGGAAGAAAAGAAGAAGCUGGAUCCUUGACUGAAUUGUCGAUGGGGGAUAGUCCAUCAUCCCAGGGCUAAGACCACCUCCAGAUUUCUUGUUUGGUGAAACAAGUCCUGAUUGUUUACAUUCCCUCGUGUUGAGCUGUCUCUUGCUUGUAGCUGAAAGCAUUUCUAAUAGAUAUUCAGAUUAUCAGCCUUAGCUCCAAGCUAGAAUACUCUAUGGGACCUUAGCUUCUCCAUGAAUUCCUUUGCUCAUCUGUGUAAUGCUCAAUAAAUGUAAAUUGAACCCUGAAUGAGGGACAAUGACA